GAAGCUGUAGCUCAGCUGGAUAGAGCAUUAGAUUGCGGAUCUAAAGGUCGCACGUUCAAAUCGUGUCAGCUUCA
rnacentral:tRNA from 1 species